rnacentral:rRNA from 1 species
CCUACGGGAGGCAGCAGUGAGGAAUAUUGGGCAAUGGGCGCAAGCCUGACCCAGCAACGCCGCGUGAAGGACGAAGGCUUUCAGGUUGUAAACUUCUUUUAUCAAGGACGAAGCAAGUGACGGUACCUGAUGACUAAGCCACGGCUAACUACGUGCCAGCAGCCGCUGUAAUACGUAGGUGGCAAGCGUUCUCCGGAUUUACUGGGUGUAAAGGGCGUGUAGGCGGGAGUGCAAGUCAGAUGUGAAAACUAUGGGCUCAACCCACAGCCUGCAUUUGAACCUGUACGUCUUGAGUGCUGGAGAGGUAAUCGGAAUGCGGGGUGUAGCGGUGAAAUGCGUAGAUAUAGGGAGGAACACCAGUGGCGAAGGCGGAUUGCUGGACAGGAACUGACGCUGAGGCGCGAAAGCGUGGGGAGCAAACAGGAUUAGAUACCCUUGUAGUC